rnacentral:rRNA from 1 species
GGAGGUGGGGUAUAGCCUGUAGAAAUACAGGGUAAUCCCGCAUAAUGUCGUAAGACCAAAGCUCCGGCGCCCCCAGAGGGGCCCAUGUGAUAUUAGCUUGUUGGUGAGGUAACGGCUCACCAAGGCAAAGAUGUCUAGCGGGUGUGAGAGCACGACCCGCGCCACUGGCACUGAGACACUGGCCAGACACCUACGGGUGGCUGCAGUCGAGGAUCUUCGGCAAUGGGCGCAAGCCUGACCGAGCGAGGCCGCGUGGAUGAUGAAGGCCUUCGGGUUGUAAAAUCCUGUCGAGGGGGAGAAAAGCGAAAGCUUGAUCUAUCCCUGGAGGAAGCACGGGCUAAGUUCGUGCCAGCAGCCGCGGUAAGACGAACCGUGCGAACGUUGUUCGGAAUCACUGGGCUUAAAGGGCGCGUAGGCGGGCUACCAAGUCCGGGGUGAAAUCCUCCAGCUUAACUGGAGAACUGCCUCGGAUACUGGUGGUCUCGAGGGUGAUAGGGGCGAGCGGAACUAAUGGUGGAGCGGUGAAAUGCGUUGAUAUCAUUAGGAACUCCGGUGGCGAAGGCGGCUCGCUGGAUCACUUCUGACGCUGAGGCGCGAAAGCCAGGGGAGCAAACGGGAUUAGAUACCCCGGUAGUCCUGGCCCUAAACGUUGAGAACUAGGUAGUAGACUAGAAAUGGGUUUACUGCCGAAGCAAAAGUGCUAAG